CUGAACUCUGGAGGCGAAGAAAGCUGUGGUGGUUCAGAGACUGUCUCCAGGACAGGAAAUAUCUUGCUGGGAUUGGACUUUGAUUUCACAGGAAGAACAGAAGCUUCUGGAACUGGCUGCUGAAGCUGCCUCCCCAGGGGUCGAGGCCUGCUUUUGAGAAGGGCUUAGCUCCAGGUCUUUGACUUCCAGGGACUGACGGAGCAAGGCAACAAAAGCUGUUUAGACUCUGGGCUCCACAACUGUUUGACCUGGAGUGGAUCAGGGAGACAGCAUAAUGGUUUUGAAGAAGACUUCCAUACCUGAGGCUUUGAGGUCCCAGAUCAACCCCUGGCACCACAGAAGCCAGAGCUGUGCACUGCUCUGGUAUAAAGCAGCAACAACAAAACACAGGUUUAAUCUAGUGUGUGCGCAUGCGCAUGCGCACGCACACGCGCACACGCAGACGAAUGUCUCGUGUAAGUUUCCCACUCAUUCAUGAGGUAUGUAAGCUAUCACACCUACCACCAAAGUCCUG